GUCAGACUGAGUGCGGAUCGACUCUACCAAGGAAACAGGGAGGCCCGUGCAUCCUUCGGGUGCCCACCGCCGCCUUUCUCCCCCUCACAGCCGGCUUCGCCUGGUGCGGAGCAGCCGUUUAAAUGGACCCCGUGCUGCGGGAGACCCCGCCGAUCUCCGGGCGAGAGCUCGAGGAGGUGGCCUCAAGCUGCCUCGGGCAGGCAUCUCCCCCCUUUCUCCGGCUGAGGUCGCGGAAGCCCAGUUAAAGGAGGCGUGUGUAAAGAUUUUGCAAUGUCCCUGCAUGGGGUUGUAGACUUUCCUAGCAAAGAAACCGGCUUCGGCUUCUUUACAGUCCCCGACGACUCACCUGAUUAAACCGCCUGCGGUUCUGCCCUGACCAGGU